rnacentral:misc_RNA from 1 species
UAAUCUCACCUCUUCGACUUUUUAUGGGUCGACCAGUGUGGACUUGGAUGUUGCCGUGUAACAAACGGCUCGUCUGAAAUGCCUGAGUGUACCCUGCUUUGCGGCGUAUUCGGUGUGAUAAAUCUUCACCGGAGUUUCGACUUUCGAGUCGGCGCUUGUAUUGUUUUGGCUCUAUGCUUCAAACCGUCCCUAACAAGGACAAACAUACUCUGACA